CAUUUUUAAAAGAGUACGUUGGUUAUUAACCCCCUGAUUUCGCAGCGUACGGUUUGUAUACUAUGCCGUUGAGAAAAUGUUGAUAAUGAUGGAUGACCCGUUAGCAGACUUAGCAAUAACCAUCACGGUUAAUAAUAUGCGGUCAAUGUUUUAAAGUGCCCCUGACACAAAAAUUGAUUUUUUGUGUAUUGAAAGUACACAUUAUGUGGAGUGUUUUGGUGAAAGAAUUUUUUGAUUUCAUUAAAAAGGAAAAAUUUUAGAGCGGUUUAAACUCACAAAUUUUUGGCACAUGGACGUCGGCUACAGGAGUCUGGGGAUAGCAUUUUUUGUGACGUCACGCAAGUGAGUCAAAUCUUGACGGUCUGUUCGACUUUUAUCAGUUUUGAUCAGCUCGAAGGUUUUGAUCGCUGAACGGCUGAAGUGUUUUUAUAUUCUAAGUUCUAUCAUGGUUCUAUAAAGUAUCAUGUCGACAACAGAGUCCGACAGUAGCGAUCAGUCCGAUGAUUCCAGUGCGAAUUUUAUACCUGGUUAAUAUAUGUUGUGUUGGAAGAUGCUGAUCAGCAACACGCCAGUUCCCUAGUAUUAUCAUUAAAACCACCAAAUCUACACGACGCGGACGUGACGAAAAACUGCCGCUAUUAUCACAAUUUCACUUCACGAGUAAAACUAUGGAUUGUUGUUGGUAAACAAAGCUAGGGGACACGAGAAAAAUAAAAUAAAACUAGUCUCCCAUUAUUAGCGACUGUUUUUAGUCUGCGUCUCAGAUUUGGCGCAUGUUAAUUUAAGCUCCUUGCCUGGCCCUCUGCUAACGUUCUAUGGCUUUGCAAAGUUUAUAUCUCCGGUUCGGUGCAUGCUAUGAAGACAAAAAUACUACGACUCGAUUCAGUGAAACAAAAUCUCCUAAUUCCCAGCGAUAGUUUUAGACUUUUAGUCAGAUACAGGCUAUAGUUUUAGUCAGAUGGUAUAGCUAUUUAUGACCUUUGUCUUUGACUUUGAUAGGUCAAGCGGUGUCAUAAUUCAUUAUAUUACUCAAUUUAUAGUCUCGAACAAUGUAAACUAGUCAUAUCUUUCGCCGAACCUAAAUUCAGCCCCUUUGGAAAUAUCUUUUUCGUAAUAGUCUUAUUCGAACCGGAAUCGAAAACACUAUUUAGAGUGUUAUUUUCAAGCUUGUGUCUUCAGAUUUGCAUCUUUCAUUUC
rnacentral:lncRNA from 1 species